UCCCAAUAUUGCCAAGAGUUUGUGGUCAGC
rnacentral:piRNA from 1 species